rnacentral:rRNA from 1 species
UACGUAGGGGGCGAGCGUUAUCCGGAUUUAUUGGGCGUAAAGGGCGCGUAGGCGGAUUUGUUAGUCGGUUGGGAAAGGUUCGGGCUUAACCCGAAGAGGUCAACCGAGACGGCGAAUCUGGAGGGCAGUAGAGGAAGGUGGAAUUCCGGGUGUAGUGGUGAAAUGCGUAGAGAUCCGGAGGAACACCGGUGGCGAAGGCGGCCUUCUGGGCUGGCCCUGACGCUGAGGCGCGAAAGCGUGGGGAGCGAAC